GGUUGCUUGAGGACCUGACACCUCUUGCUGCAGGUGGAUCUGCUGUUUGGUUACGUGCCAGUUCCAUUCAACGGACAUUUGCACUUGAUAUACUUGAGUUUGUUUUAUCCAAUUAUGUGGUGUUGUUCAGAGCGUUGGUUCCUUAUGAAGAGGUACUCCGUCGCCAGAUAUGCUCACUUCUGAUGACAUCACUUCGUACUGAUACUGAGCUUGAAGGAGAAUCUGGAGAACCUUAUUUCCGUCGUUUGGUGUUGCGUUCAGUAGCCAACAUAAUCAGGCAUUACAGUUCUUCACUUAUAACUGAAUCUGAGGUAUUUCUCAGCAUGUUGGUGAGAGUUAUAUCUCUAGACUUACCAUUGUGGCAUCGCAUUCUUGUUCUUGAAAUCUUGAGGGGUUUUUGUGUGGAAGCACGCACUAUGCGAAUUCUUUUCCUUAAUUUUGACAUGCAUCCGAAGAACACAAAUGUGGUUGAGAGUAUGGUAAAAGCUCUUGCUCGUGUCGUUUCGAGUAUCCAGUUUCAAGACACAUGUGAGGAGAGCCUUGCUGCUGUAGCUGGAAUGUUUAGUAGUAAAGCAAAAGGGAUUGAGUGGAGCUUAGAUAGUGAUGCGUCGAAUGCUGCCGUUUUAGUUGCAAGUGAAGCACAUGCAAUAACUUUAGCAAUUGAGGGCCUACUAGGAGUUGUUUUCACUGUGGCUACUUUAACAGAUGAGGCGGUUGACAUGGGUGAGCUUGACUCUCCAAGAUGUGAGUCUGAUCCACCAGCGAAAUUGACCGGAAGAACUGCACUUCUUUGUGUAUCGAUGGUUGACUCAAUGUGGUUGACCAUUCUUGAUGCUUUAUCGUUCAUCUUAGCGAAGUCUCAGGGGGAGGCUAUUAUUUUGGAAAUACUAAAAGGCUAUCAAGCAUUUACUCAGGCCUGUGGAAUACUUCAUGCUGUAGAGCCUUUGAAUUCUUUCCUAGCAUCCCUUUGCAAAUUCACAAUUGGCAUACCUGUUGAAGUAGAGAAGAGGAGUGUGGUACAAUCUCCUGGAUCUAAGCGGUCAGAAGC
rnacentral:misc_RNA from 1 species